UGAGGAGUAUUGGUCAAUGGGGGCAACCCUGAACCAGCCAAGUCGCGUGAAGGAUGAAGGUCUUAUGGACUGUAAACUUCUUUUACACGGGAAUAAAGUGGGGGACGUGUCCCCCUUUGCAUGUACCGUGUGAAUAAGGAUCGGCUAACUCCGUGCCAGCAGCCGCGGUAAUACGGAGGAUCCGAGCGUUAUCCGGAUUUACUGGGUGUAAAGGGUGCGCAGGCGGAUGGGUAAGUCAGGGGUGAAAGUCUGCAGCUUAACUGUAGAAUUGCCUUUGAUACUGCUCAUCUUGAGUGUGGGAGAGGUUGAUGGAAUUCCGGGUGUAGCAGUGAAAUGCGUAGAUAUCUGGAAGAACACCAGUGGCGAAGGCGGUCAACUGGCCCAUAACUGACGCUCAUGCACGAAAGCGUGGGGAGCAAACA
rnacentral:rRNA from 1 species